ACCCGCUGAAUUUAAGCAUAUCAAUAAGCGGAGGAAAAGAAACCAACAGGGAUUGCCUUAGUAACGGCGAGUGAAGCGGCAAAAGCUCAAAUUUGAAAUCGGCCCCCAGGUCGAGUUGUAAUUUGUAGAUUGUAUCUUGAGAGCGGAUUAAAGUCUGUUGGAACACAGCGCCUUAGAGGGUGACAGCCCCGUAAAAUCUAUUCUCAUUGUAAGAUACUUUCGAAGAGUCGAGUUGUUUGGGAAUGCAGCUCUAAGUGGGAGGUAAAUUCCUUCUAAAGCUAAAUAUUGACGAGAGACCGAUAGCGAACAAGUACUGUGAAGGAAAGAUGAAAAGCACUUUGAAAAGAGGGUGAAAAAGUACGUGAAAUUGUUAAAAGGGAAGGGUAUUGAAUCAGACUUGGUGCUGUUGUUCAACUGUGUUUCGGCAUAGUGUACUCAGCAGUACUAGGCCAAGGUGGGGUGUUUGGGAGUGAAAAAGAAGUAGGAACGUAACUCUUCGGAGUGUUAUAGCCUACUUUCAUAGCUCCUCAGGCGCCUCAGGACUGCGCUUCGGCAAGGACCUUGGCAUAAUGAUUCUAUACCGCCCGUCUUGAAACACGGACCAAGGAG
rnacentral:rRNA from 1 species